rnacentral:rRNA from 1 species
UACGUAGGGUGCAAGCGUUGUCCGGAAUUAUUGGGCGUAAAGAGCUCGUAGGCGGUUUGUCGCGUCGGCUGUGAAAACCCGGAGCUCAACUCCGGGCCUGCAGUCGAUACGGGCAGACUGGAGUUCGGCAGGGGAGACUGGAAUUCCAGGUGUAGCGGUGAAAUGCGUAGAUAUCUGGAGGAACACCGGUGGCGAAGGCGGCAUCCUGGACCAAUACUGACACUGAGGAGCGAAAGCCAGGGAGCAAACGGG